AUGUAUCUGAGGAGGAACUAUUCUUUGGAAGAAGUAUCAUAUUUGUUCUUUGUGUUUUCAGGGACCAAACCUAGGGCAAAUGUGUGGAGGUUUCAGGAAGACACACGUCAUCUCAUCAAAAAGAAGGACUUCAUGGUUUGUCAGAGCUGCACUGAGCCCCAUGGAGAGAAGCCGGUGACCAGAGCUGAGAGCUUGCCCCAGACCACGAGCCUCCCCAUUGAGAAAGCAAACAGAUUCCCAAUUUUCCAGCAUCUCGGGGAGCCUGCAGCAGUGAUCCAGUUUCCUCAAAGGGUCUGUGGAUUCUCUUGUCACUCCUGGUAUGUUCCUGUAAUAGUUCGUGGAGCAAAAGUUUGUAAUGUGAGUGUCUACAUGCUGCUCUUUCUGUCUGAGUUGGGGAAGCAAGCUAGUUCUGCUUUCUAUCUAUCAUCUUAAUCAAAGCCAGUGGGUUUCUUUCUGGCCCAGGGUGUUUGUAGAAAUGUCAUCCAAGAACUAGGGCUUGGAAUGUGAGAGUCUAUUCCAGAGCUGUGACCUAUGCUGCCUGUGGCUGGGGUUAGGGAGAUGCAAGCACUCCCUUGGCCACUCCAGCUGAUGUUUUACUAGGUCACACGCCCCUCAAGUCCACUAGCUCUGAGCCCAGCACGGCAACAAGGUUUUACCCUGGAAUUUUUGUCCUUGUGGCCUGGACUGCCUUUCCAGUUUAUUUAGAACCCCAGAGCACUUUAGCCUGUGGUGGCAAGGCUUGCCAGAACUCUGGUUCUGCCCACUGAGAUGAGUGAUCCUCUCUGGCUAGGAAUGGACUAAAUGCUCCCUCUAUGGGCACCAGGUGAGUUUUGCCUGGUGUUGCUUUCACUGUGAUAGGGCAGUGCUGAGAUCCAAUGCAAAGUCCCACAAUCACUGUGCUCUCCUUCCCCUAAGUGCACAGAUUCUCUUUCAGUGCUAUGUGACCACUGCCACAGGAAGGAAGAGGGUUGGCUCUGGCAAUUCAAGACUGUCUUUCCCAUCCUCUUUAGUGCCUCUUUCUGUGAUAUAAAGUUAAAACUAGGUACUCUGGCUGGGCGUGGUGGCUCACGCCUGUAAUCCCAGCACUUUGGGAGGCCAAGGCGGGUGGAUCACGAGGUCAGGAGAUCGAGACCAUCCUGGCAAACAAGGUGAAACCCCGUCUCUCUUAAAAAUAAAAAAAAAUUAGCCGGGCGUGGUGGCAGGCGCCUGUAGUCCCAGCUACUCCGGAGGCUGAGGCAGGAGAAUGGCGUGAACCCGGGAGGCGGAGUUUGUAGUGAGCUGAGGUCGCACCACUGCACUCCAGCCCGGGCCACAGAGUGAGACUCCGUCUCAAAAAAACAAAAAACAAAAAACAAACAAACAAACAAAAAAAACUAGGUACUCUGAUCACAGACCUGAUUUUUGGUUCCUGUGAGGAUGUUUUAUUGUGUGGAUAGUUGUCCAGUUCGGUGUUCCUGCAGGGAAAAUGAUGGGUGAAGGCUUAUAUUUGGCCACCUUGGAAAAUAGAGUUUUAAAUGUGAUAUUUGACUCCUUCACCUUCUCAAGAUCGAUGUAUCUUCCAAUCUACUUUCUACUUUUCAAAUUUCCAUUUAUCUUGUUUUAAAAAAAAAAUUAAAGCAAAUUUUAGCAGGAAGUAAUUUAUAAAAAUGGAGAAAUUUAUAAUGAGUUGCCAUUGUAUAUG
rnacentral:lncRNA from 1 species